CAAAAGUUGUUCCAGAGUAGGCUUAACUAACUAUGUCCGUGGUUAGGUUCGGGUCCGUUCUGCAGUGAGCAUGGAGAGGUCCGGACGCGUGUGUCCACGGUGUCUUCGUGGACGUCCCGCUGGAGGCGGAGACACCGGGGACCUGCUCCAGUGGCUUCGCCUUCACUUUCGCUCCCAGCUCCCUCCGUCAGUUUCUACUUCACGCGAGCGAACCGCGCCUUAAACACCUACGGGUUUUUUUCUUGUUGUUUACCUUAUUAUUAUUUUUAACUUUUAAAUGGACGUCAUGUCAACUCCCGGUCCAAACAGAAGCGGAUAAAGCGACAGCUGAACCGAGGACGAUGCGGCCGACUGAGACGCCCCCGGGAGCGGCCGGUUUCAUGUGCGCUUUGCUGGCCGCGGUGUGCGCGGGCUCCGAGAUCACAGUCUACAGGAAGCCGGGCGAUGAAGUCGUUCUCAACCCGGGUGUCUUCUCCGUGCCCUCCAGCAUCCAGUGGAAACGGGGUGACCACCUGGUCGCCCUGUGGGACGGAGAAGACACCGAAAUUUUUCGUCAGUUCCGAGCUCGCGGUAGCCUGAACACUUCGAGUGGAGAGAUGACGAUCACGGGACUGACUCGAAACGAAAGCGGCGUAUACAAAUCGGAAAUAAGCGGGUUGAUCGGUUCGACAAUUCACCUCAUCGUCAUCCCCCCCGUCCCCAAGCCCACGGUCAGCCAACGGUGCGACAGCGAGAGGACCUCCUGCACGCUGCGCUGUGACGGAGACGCCGCGGACGCCGCACCCGUCAACUACACGUGGACUCCGGGGGACGCGGCUGCAUCCAAGGAGCUACGCCUCACCAAGGAGGGCAGCUCGGGUGUGCGGGAGUUCCGCUGCGAGCUGCGGAACCCGGUGAGCCGGGAGAGCAGCGACCCCGCGCCCAACCCGUUCUCCACAGCACCCGGAGGAGGAGGAGGACCGAACUUCUGGACGGGGGCCGUGGUGUUCGGCGUCCUGCUGGUCCCCGUGCUGCUGCUGCUCGCCGCUCACAGAUGCGUGACGGGAACGUGGUUCUUCCAAAAAAGUAAGGCAUCGCUCAAAGCAAGAGAUUGAGCCCAAAUACCCCCCUUUUUCACAGAGUUUACAAACAAGGCAUUGUGGGAAAUGUAGGAUGUUGGCGCACAUCCAUGCCGUGGGAGCCAAAUUUCUGGAGGAAGCACGAGAGGCCGCCUGGGUCUGCAUCCAACGGCACGGCUGUGCAAGAGAACGGGCACUCAGACGAGGAGACCCCGUUGUCAUAGGCAACAGAGGGACGCCAGGUCACAUGUGAGGCGGAAAGCACGACCACCUGCAGAUAAAUCCCUCCAAGAAUGGAACCCUCGAGGAAAAAUGAGCUGUCAUCUGAAAGAAAUAGAAUUUGUGCUGCUUGCUUUUAAAAAAAACGAAUAUGUGGUUGAUGCCGUUGCUAUGUGCUGCCAGGAGGGGGGGCGGAGGGGGGGUGGGAGGCUACCUUAUGUAAGAAGGGAAAUUUUAAAGCAGAGUGCACUGUUGUGUUACCUGGUUUUAAAUUCUAGACAAUAGCAUGAAGCUCUGGGAAUUUGACCUGUUCCGACCCCCCCCCCCUCCCACCACACCCUCAAGCUCAUUCAAAUGGGGAGAUGGGGGGGGGGGGGUCUACCUUAUAGAAGAAGGGAAAUAUUAAAGCAAAGUGCACUGUUCUGUUACCUGGUUUUAAAUUCUAGACAAUAGCAGGAAGCCCUGGGAAUUUGACCUGUCCCGACCCCCCCCCCCCCCCUCCCACCACACCCUCCCAGUACCUCCAGCUCAGGCGGAGGUCAGAAGAAGUCACUCGGCUGCUCUUCCUCUGCGAUUCGCGUUUUGUCAUCGCGUGUUUAAUAACUUCCUGUUUUCCAUUAACUGGUGAUUUUGUGUUCUGAAGGACUGAGGUGUUUUUGCACUACAGGUGUCCUUAGUUUAGUUUGUUGAUGUUGUUAAAUACUUACCGUAGUACAACUUAUCUGAAAGAUUUUAAAGAUGAAAUCCACUGACAUCUGUUUCAUUGCAUAAAAGGCGCCGUUAUUCAUUAGCUAGUAUUGUGGCAUCAAACAUUUUGGGAUUUUAAAUGGUAACAUUUGUUUUAACAUGAUGCUAAAAGAGAGAUAAUGGUCUGUACUGAAGUAACGUGUGAAAAGCAGAAUGAUUCAAUGUUCUAUUUGUAACCGUGUUUCCCCAUCUUACCCUUGGUUCAUUAAUCAGCAGUUUUAUCCCAUGCUGUCACUAGAAAUGACCUUCAUGAAUGACAUGUUUUUUCAUGGAAAUACAUUCAAUAAAAGCACUGAAUAUUUA